rnacentral:sRNA from 1 species
GACCACGAUAGCGUUUGUAUCUCACGCUGCUCCAAACGCUGCUCCAGCUUCUUUUGCCGCGAUGCAAGCUACAAUUAUUGCUUUUUGAAAGCAGUGAACGAGCUAUUAUACAUUCCGCGACUCUCCACUCAAACCAUACACCAUAUGUUCGCUUCUGAAAAAGAUGGCCACCAAGAAAGAUAUGCGGAGACCGGAGCUCGUUGUUCCAUAUGUUGAGCCGCCGGCGAAAGCGUCAGAUGCUUCGGAUAUGAGCAGCACGAUGUCGAACACGAUGCCCAUGGCUGCGAUGUUCUCGAGAAAUAAGAUGAUUGCAUGGGCUGCCGUUACGUUCUCCCUGCAAAACUGGAUGGCGGAAACCCCAGAGCAGCAAAAGAAGGCAGCAACGCCCGCAUACAUGGGUGUGAUUAUGGCCUUCCUCUCUAUCCUUGUCACAUACAUGCCCAUGUUUCUCCCUCCUCCCGGGAGGCCUACACCCAAAGCAGCUGCUGCCCCUCCGAUGCCACCCCCCUAAUAGACCGCUAUGAAAGAGGGUUUUUCAUGAACCCUUUUCUAUAUUCUCUGUAUUCAGAGGUAAAUAUUUAUGACGAAGGAUAUUUACUUGCAAGUUUCGAUAUUCUAUGCAUACUUAUAGCCAGAUGCCAUGUUUUGGAAAAGUGCUUUUCCGAACGAUAUACACAGGCUGCGUUAACAAAAUGUACCAUAUUAUUAUUUUUUAACAAUUUUUCAUUCUCAAGCAAUUCCGCAACCCCUCAUACUCUGUGGUUGUGUCAAAUUAAUUCAUCAAAAUAUUUCCUAGCGACCUAACCACAUUGUGAAAAGAUACAACUACUACGACACCACAACACAGAAAGUUAGCAAAAGUACCAGCCGUUCUUCCCCAUAUUCACAGGUAUCCCCACCAACCAGCCAGCCCCCUCCUUUAAAUUCUAAUUGCUUGCUUUGACUGGUGAAUACCACAACACUUAGCCCAUCCCCUCCCCCGCCUCCUUACACUCGUGGCCUUGACUCAUCAUGUGUUGCUAAAUUCAUACUGCUCCCAGCCUCUUCCCAGCCCAGCUCCUCUAUUCUAGGCCGCGCAAGCAAUGCCGUGUUUUGCCUUUUUAUUGAAUGAUUUCUGGUUAAUGCUCUCAAUACCGUUUUAGGAGGGGUUAGACGCCCAGCCUCUCCGAUCAACGAUUUCUGGAAGCG